rnacentral:rRNA from 1 species
UACAUGGCGUACUGCUCAGUAACACGUGGACAACCUACCCUCCGGACGGGUAUAAACCCGGGAAACUGGGUAUAAUCCCCGAUAGAUCUCGGUCGCUGGAAUGCCCCGAGAUCGAAAGCUCCGGCGCCAGAGGAUGGGUCUGCGGCCUAUCAGGUAGUAGUGGGUGUAGCGUACCUACUAGCCUACGACGGGUACGGGUUGUGAGAGCAAGAGCCCGGAGAUGGAUUCUGAGACACGAAUCCAGGCCCUACGGGGUGCAGCAGGCGCGAAAACUUUACAAUGCCGGCAACGGCGAUAAGGGGACCUCGAGUGCCAGGUUACAAAUCUGGCUGUCGUGAUGCCUAAAAAGCAUUGCAUAGCAAGGGCCGGGCAAGACCGGUGCCAGCCGCCGCGGUAACACCGGCGGCUCGAGUGGUAACCGUUAUUAUUGGGUCUAAAGGGUCUGUAGCCGGCCGGAUAAGUCUCUUGAGAAAUCCAGCAGCUCAACUGUUGGGCUUUCAGGAGAUACUGUUCGGCUCGAGGCCGGGAGAGGUGAGAGGUACUUCANGGGGUAGGGGUGAAAUCUUGUAAUCCUUGAAGGACCACCAGUGGCCAAGGCGUCUCACCAGAAC